UCCCAUUGACUCCAGCAGGACCAGAGCUGGACCAGAGGGGCCUUUGGUGCAAGAGAGGCUGCAAGAAAGGAUUCGGCUUUAUCUGUCGGAACGUGGUGAAGGCUCACACCAGCCUCUGCUCAUCGCCUGCCCUGAAUCCCUUUGGUGAAACUCGUUGGCAUCGGAGGAACUGGGUCUGGAGGAGCUCAGCCCUGCUGGUGUCGGUGUGGGGCUCGGAGGUGCGGUGGGUGGCAGAGCUCCUCUGGAGCCCCCCAGCCCCUCCUCAGCAGGAGGCAGGCUUCCUUUCUCUGCUCUGCGCACUGUCCAAUCCCAAGGCUGUUCCUGUGGGUCAGCAUUGCCCAUGAUGGGUUUGGUCUCCAUGCCGUGGUCCAACAGCCAGCCUACUCCGAGCGUGCUGCUGCUGGAGCUGUGCCUUUUUUUCUCCAUCAUGUGAGUAAAGUUUCUGCGAGUCUGUUCUGG
rnacentral:lncRNA from 1 species